AACGAACGCUGGCGGCAGGCCUCAAACAUGCAAGUCUAGGGGGUGUAGCAAUACAUCACCGGCGGACGGGUGCGUAACACGUGGGAACGUACCCUUCGGUUCGGAAUAACUCAGGGAAACUUGAGCUAAUACCGGAUACGCCCUUUGGGGGAAAGGUUACUGCCGAAGGAUCGGCCCGCGUCUGAUUAGCUAGUUGGUGGGGUAAUGGCCCACCAAGGCGACGAUUCAGUAGCUGGUCUGAGAGGAUGANCAGCCACACUGGGACUGAGACACCGGCCCAGACUCCUACGGGGAGGCAGCAGGUGGGGAAUAUUGGACAAUGGGCGCAAGCCUGAUCCAGCCAUGCCGCGUGAGUGAU
rnacentral:rRNA from 1 species